ACACCUGGGAAACAGAUGCUUAAUACUCGUAUAACAGAGAAAACCCGCCUGGUUUUUCUUUUUAAAAGAUGGCUCUGCUCAUCACUUCUGGAUGGACCCCGCGGCGCAUUAGCUAGUUGGUGAGGUAACGGCUCACCAAGGCGAUGAUGCGUAGCCGACCUGAGAGGGUAAUCGGCCACAUUGGGACUGAGACACGGCCCAGACUCCUACGGGAGGCAGCAGUAGGGAAUCUUCCACAAUGGACGCAAGUCUGAUGGAGCAACGCCGCGUGAGUGAAGAAGGGUUUCGGCUCGUAAAGCUCUGUUGUUAAAGAAGAACGUGGGUGAGAGUAACUGUUCACCCAGUGACGGUAUUUAACCAGAAAGCCACGGCUAACUACGUGCCAGCAGCCGCGGUAAUACGUAGGUGGCAAGCGUUAUCCGGAUUUAUUGGGCGUAAAGCGAGCGCAGGCGGUCUUUUAAGUCUAAUGUGAAAGCCUUCGGCUCAACCGAAGAAGUGCAUUGGAAACUGGGAGACUUGAGUGCAGAAGAGGACAGUGGAACUCCAUGUGUAGCGGUGAAAUGCGUAGAUAUAUGGAAGAACACCAGUGGCGAAGGCGGCUGUCUGGUCUGUAACUGACGCUGAGGCUCGAAAGCAUGGGUUGCGAACAGGAUUAGAUACCCUGGUAGUCCAUGCCGUAAACUAUUUUUACUAAGUGUUGGAGGGUUUCCGCCCUUCAGUGCUGCAGCUAACGCAUUAAGUAAUCCGCCUGGGGAGUACGACCGCAAGGUUGAAACUCAAAAGAAUUGACGGGGGCCCGCACAAGCGGUGGAGCAUGUGGUUUAAUUCGAAGCUACGCGAAGAACCUUACCAGGUCUUGACAUCUUCUGCCAACCUAAGAGAUUAGGCGUUCCCUUCGGGGACAGAAUGACAGGUGGUGCAUGGUUGUCGUCAGCUCGUGUCGUGAGAUGUUGGGUUAAGUCCCGCAACGAGCGCAACCCUUAUUACUAGUUGCCAGCAUUCAGUUGGGCACUCUAGUGAGACUGCCGGUGACAAACCGGAGGAAGGUGGGGACGACGUCAAAUCAUCAUGCCCCUUAUGACCUGGGCUACACACGUGCUACAAUGGAUGGUACAACGAGUCGCGAAACCGCGAGGUUUAGCUAAUCUCUUAAAACCAUUCUCAGUUCGGACUGUAGGCUGCAACUCGCCUACACGAAGUCGGAAUCGCUAGUAAUCGCGGAUCAGCAUGCCGCGGUGAAUACGUUCCCGGGCCUUGUACACACCGCCCGUCACACCAUGAGAGUUUGUAACACCCAAAGCCGGUGGGGUAACCUUUUAGGAGCUAGCCGUCUAAGGUGGGACAGAUGAUUAGGGUGAAGUCGUAACAAGGUAACCGUAAGG
rnacentral:rRNA from 1 species